GAUGAACGCUGGCGGCAUGCUUAACACAUGCCAGUCGAACGGGAAGUGGUGUUUCCAGUGGCGAACGGGUGAGUAACGCGUAAGAACCUGCCCUUGGGAGGGGAACAACAACUGGAAACGGUUGCUAAUACCCCGUAGGCUGAGGAGCAAAAGGAGAAAUCCGCCCAAGGAGGGGCUCGCGUCUGAUUAGCUAGUUGGUGAGGUAAUAGCUUACCAAGACGAUGAUCAGUAGCUGGUCCGAGAGGAUGAUCAGCCACACUGGGACUGAGACACGGCCCAGACUCCUACGGGAGGCAGCAGUGGGGAAUUUUCCGCAAUGGGCGAAAGCCUGACGGAGCAAUGCCGCGUGGAGGUGGAAGGCCUACGGGUCGUCAACUUCUUUUCUCGGAGAAGAAACAAUGACGGUAUCUGAGGAAUAAGCAUCGGCUAACUCUGUG
rnacentral:rRNA from 1 species